UGGGGAAUUUUGGACAAUGGGCGAAAGCCUGAUCCAGCAAUGCCGCGUGUGUGAAGAAGGCCUUCGGGUUGUAAAGCACUUUUGUCCGGAAAGAAAUCCUUGGCUCUAAUACAGUCGGGGGAUGACGGUACCGGAAGAAUAAGCACCGGCUAACUACGUGCCAGCAGCCGCGGUAAUACGUAGGGUGCAAGCGUUAAUCGGAAUUACUGGGCGUAAAGCGUGCGCAGGCGGUUUGCUAAGACCGAUGUGAAAUCCCCGGGCUCAACCUGGGAACUGCAUUGGUGACUGGCAGGCUAGAGUAUGGCAGAGGGGGGUAGAAUUCCACGUGUAGCAGUGAAANNGCGUAGAGAUGUGGAGGAAUACCGAUGGCGAAGGCAGCCCCCUGGGCCAAUACUGACGCUCAUGCACGAAAGCGUGGGGAGCAAACAGGAUUAGAUACCCUGGUAGUCCACGCCCUAAAACGAUGUCAACUAGUUGUUGGGGAUUCAUUUCCUUAGUAACGUAGCUAACGCGUGAAGUUGACCG
rnacentral:rRNA from 1 species